GAUCACGUCUCUGUUCAAUUUUAGGAUAAUUCUCUCAGGGAGUGGUCCUUCAAAAAGGCAAUUACUAUCAAGACUUACAGUUCGUAUCAUCCAGUGCCAGUCCCUUUCAACCUCCUGUCUAUCCCGUUACUUGCAAUAUGUCGACAGUGUCAAAAGUGUAUCUGUAGAAGAUUUCAUGAAUCUUCUCUGGAUGAGAGCGGACGGAAAAUAGCGCUGGAUAAACUGGUGAAGAAACUAGAAACGACUUAUUUUGAAACAUAUGGUUAUUCUUUUCCGCUAACAGAGGGGAGAAAGAUGGAUCACUUACUUCACGAAACUGAUGGAGGUCGACGAAUGGCCAAUCAGAUUGUCCGACAGGUUUUCCGAGAGCCAAGCAGCAAACAGGAGAAAUUAAUCACGGGUGCAAAAGUAAGGUUUCCUCAUCUGUUUAGAUUCUUGAUAAACAAGCAUACAAAAAAUAUAUCGUUUUCAUAUGACGUCACGGCAGCCAUAUUAGUGUCCCAAAACAAUGAAACGGCCGCCA